GCCCAGAGCCUGAAUCAGUGUGUGUGUUAGUGGAAGCGUCUGGAAAGGCGCGCGAUACAGGGUGACAGCCCCGUACACAAAAAUGCACAUGCUGUGAGCUCGAUGAGUAGGGCGGGACACGUGGUAUCCUGUCUGAAUAUGGGGGGACCAUCCUCCAAGGCUAAAUACUCCUGACUGACCGAUAGUGAACCAGUACCGUGAGGGAAAGGCGAAAAGAACCCCGGCGAGGGGAGUGAAAAAGAACCUGAAACCGUGUACGUACAAGCAGUGGGAGCACGCUUAGGCGUGUGACUGCGUACCUUUUGUAUAAUGGGUCAGCGACUUAUAUUCUGUAGCAAGGUUAACCGAAUAGGGGAGCCGAAGGGAAACCGAGUCUUAACUGGGCGUUAAGUUGCAGGGUAUAGACCCGAAACCCGGUGAUCUAGCCAUGGGCAGGUUGAAGGUUGGGUAACACUAACUGGAGGACCGAACCGACUAAUGUUGAAAAAUUAGCGGAUGACUUGUGGCUGGGGGUGAAAGGCCAAUCAAACCGGGAGAUAGCUGGUUCUCCCCGAAAGCUAUUUAGGUAGCGCCUCGUGAAUUCAUCUCCGGGGGUAGAGCACUGUUUCGGCAAGGGGGUCAUCCCGACUUACCAACCCGAUGCAAACUGCGAAUACCGGAGAAUGUUAUCACGGGAGACACACGGCGGGUGCUAACGUCCGUCGUGAAGAGGGAAACAACCCAGACCGCCAGCUAAGGUCCCAAAGUCAUGGUUAAGUGGGAAACGAUGUGGGAAGGCCCAGACAGCCAGGAUGUUGGCUUAGAAGCAGCCAUCAUUUAAAGAAAGCGUAAUAGCUCACUGGUCGAGUCGGCCUGCGCGGAAGAUGUAACGGGGCUAAACCAUGCACCGAAGCUGCGGCAGCGACGCUUAUGCGUUGUUGGGUAGGGGAGCGUUCUGUAAGCCUGUGAAGGUGUGCUGUGAGGCAUGCUGGAGGUAUCAGAAGUGCGAAUGCUGACAUAAGUAACGAUAAAGCGGGUGAAAAGCCCGCUCGCCGGAAGACCAAGGGUUCCUGUCCAACGUUAAUCGGGGCAGGGUGAGUCGACCCCUAAGGCGAGGCCGAAAGGCGUAGUCGAUGGGAAACAGGUUAAUAUUCCUGUACUUGGUGUUACUGCGAAGGGGGGACGGAGAAGGCUAUGUUGGCCGGGCGACGGUUGUCCCGGUUUAAGCGUGUAGGCUGGUUUUCCAGGCAAAUCCGGAAAAUCAAGGCUGAGGCGUGAUGA
rnacentral:rRNA from 1 species